GCUUUGAUAGCCAAUGAGGUAUUUUCCCCAACAAUGAGCAUCCACUUAUGGAAAGAACCUGAAGACUAUCAAAACCAUCGAUGCUGUCAUCAUCUGGCAUGGUUUCAUUCAUGAAGUUUUGCCCAAUAAGAAGAGUGUGCGCCCUUUUUGGCGAACAGGAUAAGGUGUUCACUUUCGGAAGAAGCUGAAGAUCUUCAGGAUUCGAUUGGUAAGAGGCAGUACACGGAGAGCAUCAUUCCGGGAGGCGAUGAUAAUAAUCUAGAGCAAUCAUCGGCGUCGUGGUCAAGGUGUGGACGCUGCUUGGAAAAUAGAAGGUGCAAGUGGAGGGAAAGAAAACAAGAGAGGCACAUGUACUGGAGGUGGUGGGUGAGGGGGACCUGGCGCCCUAUUCUUCUGGUCCCUGGCCUUUGGCCCGAGGCGUUUACUUCUUUUUUUUUUUUGAGCAAGGCGCGAGCUUCUAUUCAUUCUGAAAACAGCAGGUUACAAUCCUCGGCCGCUGCCUCCAACAGCCUGGAGCUGCUUCCCAUGGCCCCGGCUGCACAGGUGCGCGAUGGACCUUGUCUUUUCUUGCUGACCCCUGACCGAAAUUCAGAAGGGCUCGACGUGAACCGGAUAGCUUGUGAUUUCUGGCGGAUUAGAGGGAGAGAAAUAAUUGAGACUGGAAGCACCCCCGGACAGUGGAUAUCCUGAAUGCCUGAACUUGUGAACACGGCCUAUCGAUGAACUUCUAUCCAGGUUCAGAGCCAGCAAAAGAUAGAGAUUUGAGAGCGUGGCAAGAGACAUGCAUGGAGGAAGAGCUGAAUGGCCUGAAACUCCACGGCGGCCAGGUCGGUCAGCUCAGCUGGUGGGGGCUCUCGCCGCGUGCGCCGGACGCGUCCAGACCAUGGUCCAUGGGAACGCGAGGCGGCGGCCGGGUGCAGGUGCAGCCACCGCAACGGCAACGGCGUGCGCGUGGGCGUGGCACGCCCGUGGAUGCCCGUACUCCACGCGCUCACCGCGCGACUCGGCGACCGCGCCGCGGAGCGUGCCGGCACGGCACGCCUGCCUGGGGCUCCGUUCACACACCGCCGCACGGCGUCACGAAACCGGCGGCGGGGCGAGGGGCGGCGACGACGACCCCGAGCUCGAAGAGUGGACGCGUAUCCGCUGCGGCCGGUCGCGCUGCCCUGUCCGCCCCCCGCUCCUGUUUGUUGGUUGACGCAUCAGGAAUCCAGCCAGAAUUCUGUUCGGAUCUUUAGCUCUUGAGUUAAUUUGAGAAAAGUUUAGCUAUUAAAUUAGUCCUUUAAAAUUUAGUCUCUAGAGUUAUUUGGUUCAUGGGCUAAUUUGAAGACUAAAACAUAUAUUCCAAUCAUUAGCUCUA